CGUUGUCGAUUACCCCUCGGUUCGGGAACCGACCCUCAAAGCUUUCCGGGUUCACCCUUCGGGGUGUUCUCGGUCCGCGAGUAGGGGCCGGGGACGCCGUCUUUGGGAAUACGACGGACGCCUGCGACGAUACUGAUAGCAGACGGGUCGGUUCAAUAAUGAAUUAGGCGGAGGCGGGGCUCUCACGUUCUUUUGUUAGUUCGGAGCGUCACCCCUCGAUUAAACGCUCCGACCCGUGCGCGGCGCAUAUAUACGGCGCACGUCUAUCCGUCCCGUCUUGAAACACGGACCAAGGAGUCUAGCAAGUGCGCGAGUCAUAAGGGUCCACUAAACCUUAGAUGGCGUAACGAAAGUAAUGUAAGAGAAAGAGGUAUUUAUAUCUCGGUUUUGGGAGCAAUCCCAUAACCACGUUGGACCGAUCCCCUCGGAAAUGCUUCGUUCUUCACCCUUCGCGGGGUGGCGAGGCCGCUACCGAUAUAUGAGGGGCGCAGGUCCGGAGGCCCGCCAUAUUAUCCUCUCUCUCCGUUCCGACCUCCCUCGUUCGCGGGGAUCAAAUGGGGCCGGGCGGAGAAGAUGAUAGGCGGGUUCCAAGAGCGUUCGUGCUAGUACCCGAAAGAUGGUGAUCUAUGCCUGGCCAGGA
rnacentral:rRNA from 1 species